rnacentral:lncRNA from 1 species
AGCCAGUAAGGGUCUGUCGGUCUUGGUCUUCAUUUGUCAUUAAAGUCAUUAUAAAGGUUCCCACACAAAUGUAUCAAAGACAUAGAAUUAAUGGAGCCAAGCAUCUCUUCUAUUUCUAUUUAGAAUUCCUCUCCUCCCAACUCCCUUGCAAAACAGGGUAUUUAUCUACCUCAUCAGGAUCCUCAGAGACUCAAGUCUGGAACCUGCAGGUUCCCUCUUGAAGGAUUGAUUAUAUCUAGUGUGAACAAUUACUUUAAAACUUCCAAACAUGAAGAGAGACAUCUAGAUCAAGUCACCUCGUAUACCCAAAUUACCAAGUGAUUUCCUAGACUCAGCUCGGUCAUCUACCAACCAAGGAGCUAAGUUUAUGCAAAUGGCUAAUGCAGCCAGUGGCCUUCUUUGGGUGGCUUUGGAAGCCUGGUUUCUUAAGAGGGACGGGGAUCUAGAGAGAGAAAGAGAAGGAUGCAAAGGGAAAUUCUCAAGUCUUCAAAAACAAAGGGAAAUAAGACAUGGACUAUUUCCUUUGCCCAUUACUCUUUCCGCCCACUUUGGUCUGCAUAUCCACAUAUAUGGCCAGGUUUGUAUAGACCACACAGAGAGCUUUCAAAGACUCAAAACUCAGAAACAUUUCUGACAUGAGAGUUUUCCUGACAUUGCCUGUGUGACAUGAACCGUCAGAGCUGGAAAAGACCUUAGAGUUUCUCUAGUCCGAUUCCUUUGGUGUAUAGACGAGGGAAAGGGCCCAGAGAGAAGAAGGAAGGAAUAAAGGGGUAACAAAGUCAAGAUUGGAAUUCAUGCCUCCAGACUCCAAGUUAGAGCAGUCUUUCCACUAUGACACAUUGCACAGAAGGAAAUGUAAAUGUAUAUUGCUCAUGUGGAAGCAUAUGUAUAUGUGUUAUAUAUGUGGAUAUAUAGACAGAUGUGUAUCCAAUCUUUUUAAUGAAUGAGGGUGGGUGAGAAUUGUUGGUUGCAUUCAGUUGUAGGGAGAAAGAAAAAUAUCAGAUUUAUUUCUUCUAUAGAGUCUAUAUAUUUUUAGGAAUUUUCUGUAGAAAGCAGCUGAUUGCACAAUAAAAGGGUUUGGUUUUUUUCCCUGACAAUGAUGGGACUGGCUUGUUUCUUUCAAGGAGAGGGGGGAAGCUGAAGGAGUGGGGAAUAGAAACAUUUUUCAUUCUCAAGUGGCAGGCACAGUAAGGAAAAUGAAGAAGGCAACCAUCCAUUGUUCCCUCAUUCAUAACAAGAUGAAGGUCUUAUGGGAUACCCCAUGGUUCAACAUUUCAAUGAGUAGAUAAUUGAGAGUGCUGCUCUUUCCUAUUCCCCUGCCCCUGCCAGGAUCACAUAGUACCCC